ensembl:lncRNA
UUGUCAAUUGAAUUGUUACACUUUAUUUAUAUAGUACUGUUCACAAUGAAUAUUGCAUGAAACCAUUUUACAGAGAAUAUUGCCUUAUAAACAGACAUCUUAUUAUACCCAGUGGGCAAGAUGACGAUGAUGAUAAACCCUCUAGAAACAUAAACACAAAUAGUUUUUAAUUUAUUACAGUCAUUUUACAAUUGGGAAAAAAAUGUAAAUGGGAACUAAGUGCCUUGGUUAUAUUUUGAACAUAUUGUGUUCAUUGCAGGUGGAAAAGGAAAGCAAAUAAAGUGACGUCUGUUGUAUUUGGACAGAUGCUCUGGGCUCCACAUUCAUUGAGGGAUUUAGCAGUUUUGUAAACCUUUUACAGUUUCCUAUGGCCAGUGGACUGAAAGGAUAUUUCCCAAUCUAUUGGAAAUAUUUUCCAGAUGUUAUUCCGGAAUUGUGAAAGACCUACUGCAAAUUAAGGGGGUGGCUAUCAUCUUGUCAUGAAAUGUUACUGCCUGACUGACAGUCGGGUGGUCUGUGAGGCAUCUGUCUGCUGUCUCAGAGUGUGUCACAAGACACAACCUGACUUUAAUAUGAGCAAAGAUCUCACAGAUCUGAUUCCUCACCUCUUGCUGCCAGCAGGCAUAAACAAGGGGAUUUAUAAGGGAGUUUGAGAGUCCUAACAGCCAGAGAUGGUUCUCCAAAACGUGAUAGAGUUUACAGGUUGGACAUGAUGCCUGCACAAUACUAACCACAAAAAAAGGGCACCAGCAGAGCGUGAAGCAACCAACCAGCAUGGCGACAGUCCGCAGGGCUUUUAUGUGACCCCAGUAACGGCUAGACGUCAGAAAGCGUGAACCUGCUUGCUGGGCACGGAUGCGCUUCUGGUGGCCACAUGCAAUUUUCAGGAUGUCCAUGUAAAAAUAGAUGAAAACCGAGACCAGUGGAAAGAAAAAAAGGCAGAAGACCACAAUGAUGCUCUUGGGCUCUAUGACGGAGAAGAAUGUGCAGACCUUGUGAUAGUCUUCCUUCUGUAAUGGUUUCAAAAUGCUGGGUGAAAAUCCCACAGACAUUGAGAUGAGCCAGAUGGGAACCAGAGCCCCAGCAAUCAUCUUAUUAUUCAUUAACUGCAAAUAGCGCAGAGGCAACUUUAUAGCUACAUAGCGGUCCAGUGAGAUCAAGAACAUGGUUAAGAUGGAGGCUGCAGAGGGUGCAAUGAUAAAGGUCAUGCGCAACAAACAAAUGCCCUUCUCCAUGGAGGCUGUCGUUCCUUUGACAGCAUCAGUGGCAAUGCCAGUGAUUGCCACGCCAACUAGGAUGUCCGCAAUGGAUAGGUUUAAGACAAAACACCAGCUCUGGCAGCCCCUCUUGCGGAUGAGCAGGACCAGGGCAAUGGCGAUUAAAAGGUUGGUGGAGAUAAUCAAAAUGGAUCCAACACUAAGAAUAUAACCCAUGGCCACUACGCUGCUUUCUAUCACAGCAGGGGUUGUGAGCUCUGGACUGGGUGAUGUCACUUCGUAGUUCUCCCUCAUAGUUCCCAAGGAUGUCUCCUGAGUCAUGUUGAAAGUGAUCAUUGUUGCAUCAAAUUUUUUAUUUUUGUUUUUUCAAAGUUGAGAAGAACUUUAAGCGUUUAAACAGACCAAGAUAGUGGUUUCAAGAGGAAGAAAUUGAUACGAAGAUGUAGAUUUUCUUUUCUUAGAUUGGGAAACACAAAACAUUCCUCCUUUUGCUGCUGUACUUUCAUUUGUCCGCCCCUUGUUCCUCUGGCUGUACUGGAGGUGGCUAUAUCCAUGAAAAUGUGAUUAUUUUGAAUUUACAACCUAACCUUACUAAAAUGCAAAGACAUUGGUGAUCUAUCGAUCAAAUAUUUAUCCAAAUCUUUAUCCUACUUUUGAAAUAUUUUCAGGAUACUUCUCAAAUGUUUAAGAGUGUUCCUUGCCUGAAAAAGUGAUGAGAAGCAGAUGAACUCCUUUCUCAUGAACAUCCAAUCUCAUCAUAGUGGAAAAGUCCAAUAAAUUCAACAGAGAACAUAUUUCAACUGAAGUCCAGAAGAAGGAUUCCAAGUAAGCGGUCAUUCUUGCAUCUCUUACUGCAUCUUUUAGAUUUGGAUGGCUUCAGGAUGAGGACAAAAGACAAUUUCUUUUAUUUGAGUUGAUGUGCCCAUGUCUGUUUUGUUGGUAAAUCUGAGAUGGGAUCCGUCUGUUAACUUUGAACAAACUAAAAGGGGGAAGAGAAACUGAUGAACAUGAAAAGGGGGUUGGGUUUGGAAAAUGGGCUUGGACACUAACAGCAUGACUGUGAUUACUCUUGAGUGAGCAAACUCUGAAUAAACAGAAGCACUCAUAGUUGAAAAAAACGUUUACCAUAUCCAAACCCUGUAACAUUUAACAGUGAACAUACGUAUAUGGAUAUAUUUUGGGAACAAGACAAAUCAGUCACACUGAUUCCACAAGAAUGCAGUAACCUCUUCAACUUCCCUCUGGAGUCAUGAGAAUGAGUCAAAGCCCUCAAGUACAAUGGACUUAAAACCACACAAGUACAAUUGACUUUUAACAAUCUGCACAUAGUCGUCCAUACCGAGGAAAGAUCUGAC